GGGUUGUGAGGUUAAGCGACUAAGCGUACACGGUGGAUGCCCUGGCAGUCAGAGGCGAUGAAGGACGUGCUAAUCUGCGAAAAGCGUCGGUAAGGUGAUAUGAACCGUUAUAGCCGGCGAUGUCCGAAUGGGGAAACCCAGUGCAAUUCGUUGCACUAUCGUUAACUGAAUACAUAGGUUAACGAGGCGAACCGGGGGAACUGAAACAUCUAAGUACCCCGAGGAAAAGAAAUCAACCGAGAUUCCCCCAGUAGCGGCGAGCGAACGGGGAGCAGCCCGGAGUCUGAAUCAGCUUGUGUGUUAGUGGAAGCGUCUGGAAAGUCGCAGGGUACAGGGUGAUACUCCCGUACACUAAAACGCACAGGUUGUGAACUCGAAGAGUAGGGCGGGACACGUGGUAUCCUGUCUGAAUAUGGGGGGACCAUCCUCCAAGGCUAAAUACUCCUGACUGACCGAUAGUGAACCAGUACCGUGAGGGAAAGGCGAAAAGAACCCCGGCGAGGGGAGUGAAAAAGAACCUGAAACCGUGUACGUACAAGCAGUAGGAGCCUCUUUAUGGGGUGACUGCGUACCUUUUGUAUAAUGGGUCAGCGACUUAUAUUCUGUAGCAAGGUUAACCGUAUAGGGGAGCCGCAGGGAAACCGAGUCUUAACUGGGCGUUAAGUUGCAGGGUAUAGACCCGAAACCCGGUGAUCUAGCCAUGGGCAGGUUGAAGGUUGGGUAACACUAACUGGAGGACCGAACCGACUAAUGUUGAAAAAUUAGCGGAUGACUUGUGGCUGGGGGUGAAAGGCCAAUCAAACCGGGAGAUAGCUGGUUCUCCCCGAAAGCUAUUUAGGUAGCGCCUCGUGAACUCAUCUUCGGGGGUAGAGCACUGUUUCGGCUAGGGGGUCAUCCCGACUUACCAACCCGAUGCAAACUACGAAUACCGAAGAAUGUUAUCACGGGAGACACACGGCGGGUGCUAACGUCCGUCGUGAAGAGGGAAACAACCCAGACCGCCAGCUAAGGUCCCAAAGUCAUGGUUAAGUGGGAAACGAUGUGGGAAGGCCCAGACAGCCAGGAUGUUGGCUUAGAAGCAGCCAUCAUUUAAAGAAAGCGUAAUAGCUCACUGGUCGAGUCGGCCUGCGCGGAAGAUGUAACGGGGCUAAACCAUGCACCGAAGCUGCGGCAGCGACACUAUGUGUUGUUGGGUAGGGGAGCGUUCUGUAAGCCGUUGAAGGUGGCCUGUGAGGGUUGCUGGAGGUAUCAGAAGUGCGAAUGCUGACAUAAGUAACGAUAAUGCGGGUGAAAAACCCGCACGCCGGAAGACCAAGGGUUCCUGUCCAACGUUAAUCGGGGCAGGGUGAGUCGACCCCUAAGGCGAGGCCGAAAGGCGUAGUCGAUGGGAAACAGGUUAAUAUUCCUGUACUCGGUGUUACUGCGAAGGGGGGACGGAGAAGGCUAUGUUGGCCGGGCGACGGUUGUCCCGGUUUAAGCAUGUAGGCGGAUGUUCCAGGUAAAUCCGGAACGUUACUAACGCUGAGGUGUGAUGACGAGGCACUACGGUGCUGAAGUGACAAAUGCCCUGCUUCCAGGAAAAGCCUCUAAGCAUCAGGUAACAUCAAAUCGUACCCCAAACCGACACAGGUGGUCAGGUAGAGAAUACCAAGGCGCUUGAGAGAACUCGGGUGAAGGAACUAGGCAAAAUGGUGCCGUAACUUCGGGAGAAGGCACGCUGAUAGGUAGGUGAAGUGGUUUACCCAUGGAGCUGAAAUCAGUCGAAGAUACCAGCUGGCUGCAACUGUUUAUUAAAAACACAGCACUGUGCAAACACGAAAGUGGACGUAUACGGUGUGACGCCUGCCCGGUGCCGGAAGGUUAAUUGAUGGGGUUAUCCGUAAGGAGAAGCUCUUGAUCGAAGCCCCGGUAAACGGCGGCCGUAACUAUAACGGUCCUAAGGUAGCGAAAUUCCUUGUCGGGUAAGUUCCGACCUGCACGAAUGGCGUAAUGAUGGCCAGGCUGUCUCCACCCGAGACUCAGUGAAAUUGAACUCGCUGUGAAGAUGCAGUGUACCCGCGGCAAGACGGAAAGACCCCGUGAACCUUUACUAUAGCUUGACACUGAACACUGGUCCUUGAUGUGUAGGAUAGGUGGGAGGCUUUGAAGUGUGGACGCCAGUCUGCAUGGAGCCAUCCUUGAAAUACCACCCUUUAAUGGCUGGUGUUCUAACGUGGGCCCCUAAUCGGGGUUGCGGACAGUGUCUGGUGGGUAGUUUGACUGGGGCGGUCUCCUCCUAAAGAGUAACGGAGGAGCACGAAGGUCAGCUAAUCCUGGUCGGACAUCAGGAGGUUAGUGCAAUGGCAUAAGCUGGCUUGACUGCGAGCGUGACGGCGCGAGCAGGUGCGAAAGCAGGUCAUAGUGAUCCGGUGGUUCUGAAUGGAAGGGCCAUCGCUCAACGGAUAAAAGGUACUCCGGGGAUAACAGGCUGAUACCGCCCAAGAGUUCAUAUCGACGGCGGUGUUUGGCACCUCGAUGUCGGCUCAUCACAUCCUGGGGCUGAAGUAGGUCCCAAGGGUAUGGCUGUUCGCCAUUUAAAGUGGUACGCGAGCUGGGUUUAGAACGUCGUGAGACAGUUCGGUCCCUAUCUGCCGUGGGCGCUGGAGAAUUGAGGGGGGCUGCUCCUAGUACGAGAGGACCGGAGUGGACGCAUCACUGGUGUUCGGGUUGUCAUGCCAAUGGCAUUGCCCGGUAGCUAAAUGCGGAAGAGAUAAGUGCUGAAAGCAUCUAAGCACGAAACUUGCCCCGAGAUGAGUUCUCCCUGACUCCUUGAGAGUCCUGAAGGAACGUUGAAGACGACGACGUUGAUAGGCCGGGUGUGUAAGCGCAGCGAUGCGUUGAGCUAACCGGUACUAAUGAACCGUGAGGCUUAACCUUACAACGCCGAAG
rnacentral:rRNA from 1 species